UACGAAGGGGGCUAGCGUUGCUCGGAAUCACUGGGCGUAAAGCGCACGUAGGCGGCUUUCUAAGUCAGGGGUGAAAUCCUGGAGCUCAACUCCAGAACUGCCUUUGAUACUGGAGAGCUUGAGUCCGGAAGAGGUGAGUGGAACUCCGAGUGUAGAGGUGAAAUUCGUAGAUAUUCGGAAGAACACCAGUGGCGAAGGCGGCUCACUGGUCCGGUACUGACGCUGAGGUGCGAAAGCGUGUGGAGCAAACAGG
rnacentral:rRNA from 1 species